rnacentral:rRNA from 1 species
CAUUUUGUUACGGUUUUCAAUUUACUAUUCGUUUAUUAACAUGAAAUUUGAAGAGCUUUCAGUUACGAGAUUUUGCAAGUUGAGAAAUCUAGCACAAGAUACCGAAUUAUUUAAGGCCAAGAUAGUGCCAGCAGCCGCGGUCAUACUAUCCUAAUUAGUAAAUAAAAAUAGUAAGAAAAACUAGUUACAAUAUAUAAUUAUGGUGAAAUAUAUUAUAUAAAUAUAUACUCCUGUUAGUUGUUCAUUAUAUAAAUACUUAUAUCAAACAAGGAUUAGAUACCCUUCUAUGAGGUAAGUAAAAUUCCUUACUGGGCAUUAAAGAUUUUUUUACCUAAACUCAAAUAACAUGGCGGUAAUUUUAAAGCUUAGGGGAACUUACCUAAUAAAUGAUAACCACCAAGGGUAGCUACUUUAGGUUAAAUUUUGUAUGCCGUCGUCUAGAUUAAAUAUUAUAUUUAAUCCUGUGUAUACUCUACUGAAUGACAGAUCUUGGUGCAGACAAUCCUAAAGUUAAGGCGAGUUACAAUAUUGGCUUAGAUUCUAUUUUAGUUAUCAUAAUUAACUUAAAUAGCUGGACUUAAUAGUAAAGGUUAUAUUAUAGUUAUUGCUUGAAUAAAUAUAAAAUUGUGC